rnacentral:misc_RNA from 1 species
UCUUGGUUGCAAGAUUGUUGGGACCUCAAGUAAUUUCGUGAAGAAGAAGAAGAAACCGAAGAAUUCGCCGGAGAAGAAGAGGUUACCGGCGGCGGUGGUGGCAGCAUCGGAAUUCGAUGACUCUUACAGCAGCAGCAGCAGCAGCCAUGGCCGGAGAAACAAGAUUCAGAGUUUUACUCCGUCAACGCCCCCUCCAACUUCUGCUAAUUACAAAACGGCCAAGCGUAGAAAGGGAAUUCCUCAUAGAGCCCCAACAGGAGGACUAUUCAUAGAAUAUUAAUCUUUGCAAUUACAGUCCUUUAAUUUACAUCUAAAAUGCAUAUUGUCUAUACAAAUAUACUGCCUAGUUUAUCCCUCCAAACACUAGUGCUUUCUCCAGAAAAGGCCAGUGUUCUAAAGCUCUUUAGUCCACAAGAGCCGUGUUGUAUAUAGUUUUUAGGAUCAAAUAGGAUAUGAUGAUAAAUUGGAGGGUUGGAAGUUGAAAAUAAGGAAAAAAUGUAAGGAUUAAUAGUGCUAAGUUUAGAAGUUGAGCUUAGAAAAUAAGCUACUAUAGUUUGAUGAACAACUUAUUUUAGUUAUAUAAUAUUAGAUUGUUUAUACCUAUGUUUUGAAUGUCUCUUUGAGCCUUUGUAAUCUAAAAUGUAAAUAUGAAUAUAGUAUUGUG